rnacentral:sRNA from 1 species
AGUCAUUACACAAUGGAGCUUGCACUCACAUUAGUAUUUCUGAACGAAACAUAAGGAAAAAAAAAAACAACGUUCUAUUAUUCAUUAAGGAAAACAAAACCCAUCAUAAAGUCUUGCCCGGUCCUUUUAAUUGUGUACCACGGCAAGCAGCCAUUAAAGGAGAACAUGGUCUUUAUGCUCCGUAAAUGAGAGCCGAGCUCUGGUGAAAUCGGAGUCCAGAAUUACAAGGACAUAGUUAUCCGCCUUUGAAGUAGGAACUCUACGUUAAAUUCUUCAUGACAAUUUCUUAUUUCUCGAUUUAAUAAUGACAUAAAAAAAUACUCUGUCGUAGAUUCUCUUAAAGUCAUUAGGCUACAGGUUCUGUUUCAUAUCUGCCGGGUUUAACGACUUUAUUAAUGAUUUUAAUUAUAAACUAUGUAUAAGCCACCCACUUGGAUGAUAAUCGAGUUAGAAAACUCUCUACAAUUACUACGUGGUGGAAAGUCGUAGAAUUCAAAACAAGAUAUAAGAGAUGCCAAUAAUUAAUCAUAACAAUACUGCAUGAUAAACGUAAUACCAUGAGAUUGGAGUAACGAGACCCCACAUUGUGGAUAGUACAAGAAGUAUUCAUAGAAACCAAACUCAAUCCACAAAACAUCACUCAAACUCGGGAACUAAUAGGACUUUAAUGAGACUCAAUGACAUCUCGAGUGAGACAGAUGAAACUCAUAAGAUGUGGAUUGGAAUAAUGGUAUUUGACAUGCACAUUUGGAACAUCUCAACUGGCUUAUGUGGAUGAAAUUCAUAAUAUAAUGAUGAUACUCCUUCAUUCUAUCAACUCAUUACAUGAGAUGUGAUGGAAGUCAUCAUGUGAUUCAGUGACAAAAGUUUUCUUGAUUCGAUUAGCAACACUUAAUUAAUCUAGUAAGUUUUUUGCUAUAUAUAUAAGCUUCAUAAUGACAAUUAAGACACCCUCCAAACAACCCAGCUAACCCCAUUUUGAAAUAAACAUAAGAAAUUUUAAAAUAAUUUACAGUAAAACUAACAAUUUAUAUUAAUUACGUACAUAUAUUCCUUUAUUAAUUUUUUAAUCACUUUUGAUAUUUAAUUCUGCUGCGAAUAUUUCUGCUUUAAUUGUAUAACUUAUUUCAAGAAAAUGGUUAAAAUUAGUUAUUUUAAUGAGAGAAAUCUUAAUUCAAAGAAAUAGAUUGUAUAAAAAAAAAUUGAAGUUUGAUUUUUCUAGAAUCUGAAAUGCGCAGAAAAUUAAAUAUUUAUCUUUAAAUAAUUGUAAACUAUGUUCACUUUGCAAAAAAGAACGAUCAAAAGUAAAACAACAUUUUGCACUUUUGCAUGUACAUUGUUUAAUUGCUUAAAUAAUUUAUUUUGGGACAAUUAAAACUGGCAUUAUUCC